rnacentral:rRNA from 1 species
UAGCCGUGGCUUAUUCUUACGGUACCGUCACCCGAAGGCUUCUUCCCGUACUAAAGGAGUUUACAACCCUAAGGCCUUCUUCCCCCACGCGGCGUCGCUGCGUCAGGCUUUCGCCCAUUGCGCAAAAUUCCCC